GUCUCCUCUCCUUCGGGAGAACGGAAGGACGCCUGUGGCCUACAGAACCCAACUGGCAACAUGGCACACAGGGAGGAGAAGAAGGAAUAUGGAUGGGACUCAAGGGAAUCACUGGACUGCCUCCGCCACUGCCAGUAGCAGGAUUGCAGAUCAGAGAAUAACAUUUGUCUUGUUGGAGGUUUACAAGAAUAUCAUGAUCUGACCUAUGUGGACAGCAGAGAGAACAAAGGAUUCUGACCCCAAGAAGUUUGCAACAACCAACCACAUUCUGUCCCUUUUUAGUAUAAAAGCUAGAAUUCUAACCCAGGAAAGAUGGUUCUUUGGGACACCAGUCCAUCAUCUUGUCAGUCUGCUGGCUUUCCAAAUAAAGUUGCUAUUC
ensembl:lncRNA